UACGAAGGACCAGAGCGUUAUCCGGAUUUAUUGGGUUUAAAGGGUGCGUAGGCGGCCCGUUAAGUCGGCGGUGAAACCCCUGGGCUCAACCCAGGGAGUGCCGUUGAUACUGGCGGGCUUGGAUUUCCUCUGGGCGGGCGGAAUGGAAGGUGUAGCGGUGAAAUGCGUAGAUAUCUGGAGGAACACCGGUGGCGAAGGCGGCAUCCUGGACCAACACUGACGCUGAGGAGCGAAAGCCAGGGGAGCAAACGGG
rnacentral:rRNA from 1 species